UUGGGGGGAAUAAGAUUUUUUCCCAAAAUGACAUAAAUGCCCCUAAGAAGCCGUACAACUUCCGACCCCGGACGGCCGAAGUCGGCGUCCGACUUCGGAACGCCCGACCUCGAGACCUCCGACCUAAGAAAAACCCCGAUGUUCGAGGUCUACUCUUGUCAGCCACCUACUACGGCCGUGCGCCUCAGAGGUCCGGCCGAGGACCAUACCCUGACA
rnacentral:lncRNA from 1 species